rnacentral:lncRNA from 1 species
CACGCUGAGGAAGGCCGUGCCCACCCUGCCCGUGCCCCUAGCAGCCCUCUGCCUGCUCCUGAACCUCAUUCCAGGCCUAGGGACAUUCGUGUCGGGCAUGGCGGUGAUGUGCGGGUACCCUACACACUACGAGACCAAGACUGCUGGAGUCUGCUGGAACAUGGUCGCCGCCUUCCUCCAGGUCCUCCUCACUCCGAUAGUGGUUGGGCUCAUAUGGUCCGUUCAAAGGGGCGUCCUUAUCGUCCAGGAGUCAUUACAAAAGAAGAUUGAUGAUCGACAGGCGAAGCAUGACGAGGCGAAGGACGACGAGGCGGCGUAGGGCACAGGCGCGCGGACACACCACAAUGGUCACCUCAGGGUACCAGAGCACGCCACGGCACACCAACAUCCUACAGCACCAGAGAACCUCGCGGGACACCACGGAACCUCACUGGAACGUCCCAGGACACCACGGAACCUCACAGCAACGUCUCAGGACACCACGGAACCUCACAGCAACGUCUCAGGACACAAGAGAACCUUGCGGGACACCACGGAACCUCACAGCAACGUCCCAGGACACCACGGAACCUCACAGCAACGUCUCAGGACACAAGAGAACCUUGCGGGACACCACGGAACCUCACAGCAACGUCCCAGGACACCACGGAACCUUGCGGGACACCACGGAACUUCACUGGAAUGUCCCAGGACACCACAAAACCUCACAGCUACGUCCCAGGACACCGAGGUACUCAUCAAAACCUCAGAGGCACCACUUAAGGAACCUCAAAGGACACAAGGAACCUCCUAAGACGCCAUGGAAUAAUGCCGGUCAUCGGCGUAUAUAAAGCACCAAAGGCGUCACAAAAUAUGACAAGACAUCACAAAUACCGCAAGAUGUCACAUUCUACAGAGGCGCCGUGAAGCACCGGGACACAUCACACGACAACAGAGGUGACAGGGGGACGUCGCAGCACAACAUGGGAGGUCACACGUCAGCGGGAGAAACAAGAGGACAGCAGGUGACAUCACAAAACACGGAACAUUACACAACAAAAGGGAGGGGGGUGCUACAGGGUAAUAGGUGACGUCAUAGGACAACAAGACAGCUCACAUAACCGUGGACAUCACAAGACAACAGGGACCGUCACAGGACGACAGGGGACGUCACAGGAUGACAGGGGAAGCCACAGGAUGACAGGAGACGCCACAGGAUGACAGGGAACGCUAUAGGAUGACAGGAGACGCCACAGGAUGACAGGGAACGCUAUAGGAUGACAGGAGACGCCACAGGAUGACAGGGAACGCUAUAGGAUGACAGGAGACGCCACAGGAUGACAGGGGACGUCACAGGAUGACAGGAGACGUCACAGGACGACAGGGGACGUCAUAGGAUGACAGGAGACGCCACAGGAUGACAGGAGACGUCACAGGACGAUAGGGGACGUCACAGGAUGACAGGAGACGCCACAAGAUGACAGGAGACGCCACAGGAUGACAGGGGACGCCACAGGAUGACAGGAGACGCCACAGGAUGACAGGGGACGUCACAGGAUGACAGAGACGCCACAGGAUGACAGGGGACGUCACAGGAUGACAGGGGACGCCACAGGACGAUAGGGGACGUCACAGGAUGAUAGGGGGAUGCCAAAGGACGAUAGGGGACGUCACAAGACGACAAGGGACGCCACAGAAUGACAGGGGACGCCACAGGAUGACAGGGGACGCCACAGAAUGACAGGGGACGCCACAGGAUGACAGGGGACGCCACAGGAUGACAGGGGACGCCACAGGAUGACAGGGGACGCCACAGGAUGACAGGGGACGCCACAGAAUGACAGGGGACGCCACAGAAUGACAGGGGACGCCACAGGAUGACAGGGGACGGCACAGGAUGACAGGGGACGCCACAGGAUGACAGGGGACGCCACAGAAUUAUAGGGGACGCCACAGGAUGACAGGGGACGCCACAGGAUGACAGGGGACGCCACAGAAUUAUAGGGGACGACAGGGGACGCCACAGGAUGACAGGGGACGUCACAGGAUGACAGGGGACGCCACAGGACGAUAGGGGACGUCACAGGAUGAUAGGGAGAUGCCAAAGGACGAUAGGGGACGUCACAAGACGACAAGGGACGCCACAGAAUGACAGGGGACGCCACAGGAUGACAGGGGACGCCACAGAAUGACAGGGGACGCCACAGGAUGACAGGGGACGCCACAGGAUGACAGGGGACGCCACAGGAUGACAGGGGACGCCACAGGAUGACAGGGGACGCCACAGAAUGACAGGGGACGCCACAGGAUGACAGGGGACGGCACAGGAUGACAGGGGACGCCACAGGAUGACAGGGGACGCCACAGAAUUAUAGGGGACGCCACAGGAUGACAGGGGACGCCACAGGAUGACAGGGGACGCCACAGAAUUAUAGGGGACGCCACAAGACGACAGGGGACGCCACAGGAUGACAGGGGACGCCACAGGAUGACAGGGGACGCCACAGGAUGACAGGGGACGCCACAGAAUGGCAGGGGACGUCACAGGACGACAGGGGGACGUCGCAAGACAAGGGACGUCACAUUCAUUCUCUCCAUUCAAGACAAUUUUCUUCAGCAUAACUUGAUAUUGUUUGGCACUAACUGUGCUGCCUGACACUUUCGACAUUGAGAGUACUGACCACUGACACCGCUGGUACUACUGACCACCAGCACCGCUGGAACUACUGACCACCAGCACCGCUGGAACUACUGACCACUGACACCGCUGGUACUACUGACCACCAGCACCGCUGGUACUACUGACCACCAGCACCGCUGGAACUACUGACCACCAGCACCGCUGGGAGUACUGACUGACGGACCAGCUACACCAAGAACACACAACCAACUCCUGUUCCUAAAACAGCCCUCAACUAGUGGCACAAUAGUUUGUAAUACAUAUAAAAACAUGUCCUAUAGAAGGACAAUAAGAUGCGUUUUCAAUUGUUUUUGUUUUCCUGGUGAGAGUAAACACAUACACACACUUGUGUCCCCUGGUGUAGGCUACUGUUGUGUGUGUUUGGUAAGGUAAUGUUAGACGAGUCGAAACUAGCCGUAUCAUGUAUGGUUAUAAUCAAUAUAUUUGUGUAUAUUAUAGCAUAGUUUCUUUCGCGGAUAGAUGAACGGUACACUAGUUGCUUCACGGAUAGAUGAA